UACGUAGGGGGCAAGCGUUGUCCGGAUUUAUUGGGCGUAAAGGGCGCGUAGGCGGCCUUCUAAGUCGAACGUGAAAUCCCCGGGCUCAACCCGGGAACUGCGUCCGAUACUGGUGGGCUCGAAUCCGGGAGAGGGAUGCGGAAUUCCAGGUGUAGCGGUGAAAUGCGUAGAUAUCUGGAGGAACACCGGUGGCGAAGGCGGCAUCCUGGACCGGUAUUGACGCUGAGGCGCGAAAGCCAGGGGAGCAAACGGG
rnacentral:rRNA from 1 species